CUCCACUUCAGACAGCCCUCUUCCACCAUGUUCCCUUUCAACAAUGAAGAGUUCACUCUUCUCCGGCUAUGGGUUCUCAAUAUUGUGCCAUGGAUGCAUCAAUUUGAAGCUUUUUCAGCUUGCAUGAUUGGGAUUUCCAGUUUAUGGAUGCUACCAGUGUAUUUUGGUGCUAACAUAUCGGGUCUAGUCUACUGAGGCUUGUGUCUUCCUCCAAGUAUAGCUGGGAUGGAGAUUCUGGGAUGCUCAAACCCGUUGAUAGUUGGAUAAGUUCAAGUACCUCAGCUACUUAAGAUAAAUCUGACCAUGAGACCCCCUAUCUGAUAAGAUUUCUAUUUUUUUGGCUGGUGUAGAUAGGCUAAUUAGCAUUUUCACCAUUUUUGUUUACCUUCUCAUGUUGUAAAUAAUGCAUGUGAAACUUGUUGUAGCCCUUCCAGUUCCUUACCCCUUUGUUGGUACUAGUCGCACAUAUGGACAUUGUUGUUUGCCACUAUUUAGGAUCUUCCUGCCUAGGCAUGGUAGCUGAAUGAAUGAUGUGAAUGUGAAGUUACCUUGCUAAAUUGCUAAGUUGGCUAAAUAAUCAGCCAAUUGAUUGCCCUCUCUGAAUAUAUGUUAUAUGAU